UACCGUGUGUCGGAUGAAAAAGAAAAAAACAAACGGAGAAAGAGAGAGAGAGAGAGAGAGAGAGAGGGAGAGAGAGAGAAAUAAAACUCGUGUCGAGUAAUAUUAGGAGAAAAGAGAGAGGGUAAAAUAUUGGUGAUAACGUUGCCAACGCUAUUGAUUCGUUCUCUUUCCUCUGAGGGAGAAAACACGUGGCUCCCGGUGUUUGCGCGUUUAAUUCGAAACUUUAUCGAAUCAUCGACGGAGUUCUACUCUCUCUUUCUCAUCAUAUAUAUAUGUAUAUAUAUAUUUUUUUUAUCUGUUUUUUUCUUUUUUCUUUUUUUUUUUUUUUUUUUUUUCUUUCGCUUUUGCAUAGCGAAGGCAACGAUAUUAAUAAUAUACGAUCGAUAUCGUGCCGAUACGCCUUCGUUUUUACUCUGCAUGUGUGUGUGUGUGUGUGUGUGUGUGAGAGAGAGCGAGAGAGGCUGCGAGCGUGCAUUUUUUUUUUUUUUUUUUUUUUUUUUAUAUUAACACACUAUAUCGUAAAUAAUUGAUAGAAAUUAUUUCAGGUUUCUCGAUAAGAAAAAAAGAUUUGUCAUAUAAUAGGAAAUAUUUAUCGAACAACGGUCGAAACGGUAAACAAUAAGUGCAGUCUAAUAAAUUCUAUAUUAGUUUAGCGUUGAUCGUUAUGUUAUAAAUGUGUUUGCGCGUGUUCUAAUGCAUGUGCUAUCUUCGUUUUUUAAUCGAACGUGAUACAUUCUUUUUCGGAAUGAUUGUUACAAUCGAUAUAAAUGGUCCAGCGUGGAAAGACUUUUAUCGCGAUUUCUACUGUUAUAAUAAUAAUAAUAAUAGUAAUAAUAAUAAUAAUAAUAAUAAUAAUAAUAAUAACAAUAAUAAUAAUAAUAAUAAUAAUAAUAAUAAAAAGAAAAAGAAACUAAAAAUCAAAACUAUUUAAUAUCGUCCGUAAGAUAUUUCUCAUAUCUUUCUUUUAUAUACCAGAAGAAAGAAAAAAUAUUGCAAUGAAUCACACAUACCUUUUGGAAGAAAAUAAAAAAGAUGACUGUAGUUGUAUGCAACAGACGAUAUCGUAAAAAGUAACAAAAAAAAAAAUAUAGAAGAAGAAAAAACAAAAGAACAGCAAGUCAACUUUUUAAGUUUUUUUAAGUUUCUUAUAUGUUAGAAAUUUGUAAAUGAACUACGAAUUGUAUUAUGUCUAGAAGCGAUAGACUCUCUUUCUUCUAUACUUAAACUUUCAUUUUCUUCGGGUUAUCAUCAUCGUCUCCGUCGUCGUCGUCGUCGUCGUCGUCGUAAUAGUCGAUGGACUUCGUUCGUAUCACAGUUUCCACGAGUUUUUACGAUCUCGUGAGGAAAGAGUAAAGCAGACAUAAUUGGAAGAAGAAGUGGAAGGAAACUUAAAAGUUUAUAUAGAUUGAGUCGUGACACGAAUUCUUUACUCGUUCGCGUUCGUUCUGCUUCCAACGAAUAAUCGAGUACAGUGAUGAUAAGGUUACGAAAAGUGAAAAUGAAUUAUGAAUUACGCUAUUCAUGACAAACGCGUUAAAUAUCGUUUUACUCGAAUAAAUAGUAUAUUCUUAGAUAAAUCUUCUUUCUUAGAAAUCAUUUUGAUGUUUUCUUCGUUUCUUCUUCUUUGAUUUUCUUCCUUUUUGCUGCGAAAAUAUUUGUUAUUAUUUUCAAAGUGAAAUACAAAAUUCUUUUUCGUCGAAAAAAGAAGGAAGAAAAAAAAAUAAAUAAAUCACGGCCGCGCCAGAUGAGAGAUCGUAUCGAAAUAGGGGGAAAAAAAAGUGUAUGAUUAAAAAAUGAAAAAAAAAAAAAGAGAAAAGGAAGAAAAA